rnacentral:rRNA from 1 species
GACGGAGGAUGCAAGCGUUAUCCGGAAUGAUUGGGCGUAAAGCGUCCGCAGGUGGCAGUUCAAGUCUGCUGUCAAAGCCCGGGGCUUAACUUCGGAAAGGCAGUGGAAACUGAACAGCUAGAGUAUGGUAGGGGCAGAGGGAAUUCCUGGUGUAGCGGUGAAAUGCGUAGAGAUCAGGAAGAACAUCGGUGGCGAAAGCGCUCUACUGGACCGCAACUGACACUCAGGGACGAAAGCUAGGGGAGCGAAUGGG